CAAACUGUUUUUCAAUUCACAAUUGACUGUUUGUUAAAUCCCCUAAAUGAAAGCAAACACUCUAUUUUUAGUAAAAUCCAAAGAAAAAACUUACCUGCGCUCUUCCCAAAUCCCUAUGCAUAUUUAAACAAAUGGAGGUUUAGUUUCUCCAGUGGCCAUGAGAGAUUUUAGCCCACCUGCGACGUCAAGGCAAACCUCUCAGGUGGG